rnacentral:rRNA from 1 species
GCAAGUCGAACGAGAAAGUGAUCUUCGGAUCGCGAGUAGAGUGGCGCACGGGUGAGUAACACGUGGAUAACCUGCCCUAUGAUCUGGGAUAACAUUUCGAAAGGAAUGCUAAUACCGGAUAAGCCCACGAAGUCUUCGGACUUUGUGGGAAAAGAUUUAUCGUCAUAGGAUGGGUCCGCGGUCCAUUAGCUAGUUGGUGGGGUAACGGCCUACCAAGGCUGCGAUGGAUAGCUGGUCUGAGAGGAUGAUC